GGUCCCAUGGCGUAGUGGUCACUGCGCUCGCCUUGCACGCGGGAGACCCGGGUUCGAUUCCCAGGUGUGUACU
rfam:Asian citrus Psyllid, Diaphorina citri - Florida Strain, whole genome shotgun sequence.